ACCCGCUGAACUUAAGCAUAUCAAUAAGCGGAGGAAAAGAAACUAACAAGGAUUCCCCUAGUAACGGCGAGUGAAGCGGGAUGAGCUCAAAUUUAAAAUCUGGCUGGUUUACUAGUCCGAAUUGUAGUUUAUAGAAGCGUUUUCGGUGGCAGCCUGGGUAUAAGUCCUUUGGAAUAGGGCAUCAUAGAGGGUGAGAAUCCCGUCUUUGACUCAGUGCAUGCUACUAUGUGAUACGUUUUCAAAGAGUCGAGUUGUUUGGGAAUGCAGCUCAAAAUGGGUGGUAAAUUUCAUCUAAAGCUAAAUAUUGGCGAGAGACCGAUAGCGAACAAGUACCGUGAGGGAAAGAUGAAAAGAACUUUGAAAAGAGAGUUAAACAGUGCGUGAAAUUGUUGAAAGGGAAACGCUUGACACCAGUUAUGCGGGUGGAAAAUCAGUCUUUUGCAAUGGGGAGUUGUGGGCGUUCAGACCGCAAGGCUGGCGUUUGCUUCAUCUUUGUUGUAAGUGAUGCACUUUUUCAUUUGCAGGUCAACAUCAGUUUGCUCUGCUGGACAAAACUCCAAGGGAAGGUGGCAGCUUAGGCUGUGUUAUAGCCCUGGAGCGAUACAGUGGGGUGGACUGAGGUUUUCGCAGUGUGUGCUUUUAGCAAGGCUGACUGGGUGCUAUGGGAUCGUUCGGCGUACAAAUGCAUGCAUUUUGCGUCGUGUCUUUUCUAUACUCGCUCAACUCGGCUCUUCCACGCUUAGGAUGUUGACUUAAUGGUUUUAAUCGACCCGUCUUGAAACACGG
rnacentral:rRNA from 1 species